GUGGGUCUGAGUGCUUAUUGCACCACAUGUGUUUUUCUUUGAAACAAACUUGCUUUGGCGGUGGGCCCAGCCUGCCGCCAGAGGUCUAAACUUACAACCAAUUUUUUAUCAACUUGUCACACCAGAUUAUUACUUAAUAGUCAAAACUUUCAACAACGGAUCUCUUGGUUCUCGCAUCGAUGAAGAACGCAGCGAAAUGCGAUACGUAAUAUGAAUUGCAGAUAUUCGUGAAUCAUCGAAUCUUUGAACGCACAUUGCGCCCUCUGGUAUUCCGGAGGGCAUGCCUGUUUGAGCGUCGUUUCUCCCUCAAACCGCUGGGUUUGGUGUUGAGCAAUACGACUUGGGUUUGCUUGAAAGACGGUAGUGGUAAGGCGGGAUCGCUUUGACAAUGGCUUAGGUCUAACCAAAAACAUUGCUUGCGGCGGUAACGUCCACCACGUAUAUCUUCAAACUUUGACCUCAAAUCAGGUAGGACUACCCGCUGAACUUAAGCAUAUCAAAAGCCGGAGGAA
rnacentral:rRNA from 1 species